UAGUGGCGAACGGGUGAGUAACACGUGGGCAAUCUGCCCUGCACUCUGGGACAAGCCCUGGAAACGGGGUCUAAUACCGGAUAACACUGUCCCCCUCCUGGGGGACGGUUGAAAGCUCCGGCGGUGCAGGAUGAGCCCGCGGCCUAUCAGCUUGUUGGUGGGGUAAUGGCCUACCAAGGCGACGACGGGUAGCCGGCCUGAGAGGGCGACCGGCCACACUGGGACUGAGACACGGCCCAGACUCCUACGGGAGGCAGCAGUGGGGAAUAUUGCACAAUGGGCGAAAGCCUGAUGCAGCGACGCCGCGUNNNGGAUGACGGCCUUCGGGUUGUAAACCUCUUUCAGCAGGGAAGAAGCGAAAGUGACGGUACCUGCAGAAGAAGCGCCGGCUAACUACGUGCCAGCAGCCGCGGUAAUACGUAGGGCGCAAGCGUUGUCCGGAAUUAUUGGGCGUAAAGAGCUCGUAGGCGGUCUGUCACGUCGGGUGUC
rnacentral:rRNA from 1 species